rnacentral:lncRNA from 1 species
CCCAUCUGUGCUUUAAUCCCUCUAUAAAGUUGAUGUUCCUGAGUCCUGUGUUUGCUCUGAUAGGAUCUCGGCCAUCUGGUCCAUGCCUGUUCCUAUGGCAGCCCCUCCAUUGCCUUUUAAUGACAGCAAACAAAGAAAGGGACUGGGUCGAGAAAACAAAAAUCGUAUUUUUAUGUUUCACUGAAGAUACAAGCCUUCUGUUAAGACCUUGUUUUGAAUAAAUCCUUCCACUGAUGCUCCUACAUGUCCAGCAAUAGCAUUUACACUUCCAAAAUGGUGCUGAAAGACAUAAAAGAAACUUAAUGAAAAUGUCCUUCAGAAUGCAUGAAGUGAAAUAUUCAGAGCACUCCACUUGUGAAUCUAUGCUCGUCAUCUCACAGUAUCUGCCAAACUAUUUCAAAGACCUGGUCAGAGUUUCAGAACUAGUAACACUACCUGAAAAUGAAUGUUGGAGCCAGAUAAGAAACUAUAGGCUGCUUUCAAGAAGGUUACAAGAAAACUGCAUCUUGCAUUACUAAUCCUUUAUCUUCAUGUUAACAAAAAGAUUACUGACACAUUUUUGAAUGAAAGAAAAUAAAACAGCAAAUGCAUCUUAGAAAAUGUUUAAC